rfam:Ancylostoma ceylanicum strain HY135 Acey_s0048_scaf, whole genome shotgun sequence.
UUUUCCGGAAGAAGGCGUGGGGGGUGACUCACAGGCCCGCGUGGCCUCCGUUCCCCCGGGAAGGUCUGAGAAAAGGUCGUACGGGUUUGAGAAGGACCCCAUUCGUGAGAAUGGGAGGCUGUAACAGAAAAUGUCCCCUGCGGGGUUUGAAGACAGCCUCGACCAGCAAUGUCUGAGUGCGAUCGCCCUGUGUAACACAAUUCAGACUAGUCUUCGGAGAA